AGAUCUGGACGCAUGUGUGAGAUU
rnacentral:siRNA from 1 species